rnacentral:rRNA from 1 species
UACGGAGGGUGCAAGCGUUACUCGGAAUUACUGGGCGUAAAGCGCACGUAGGUGGCUGAGUCAGUCGAUUGUGAAAGCCCUGGGCUUAACCUGGGAAUUGCAGUCGAUACUACUCAGCUAGAGUAUGGGAGAGGGUAGUGGAAUUCCCGGUGUAGCGGUGAAAUGCGUAGAUAUCGGGAGGAACAUCAGUGGCGAAGGCGGCUACCUGGCCCAAUACUGACACUCAGGUGCGACAGCGUGGGGAGCAAACAGG